rnacentral:misc_RNA from 1 species
UUAAGUUCAGCGGUAGUCCUACCUGAUUUGAGAUCAAACGUUCAAAGAGCUGUCCUCACUGAGGAGAGAUGUUUAUGAGCCCCAGUGAACCUCCAUCGCUGAAGGUUACCUGGUGGAAAGCCACAAGCAUAGAUAGUUAUCACACCUGUGACGCCACCAAACACUGGCAAGCUGAUUCAUUUGAGAGGAGCCGACCGCAG